CACCUGGAAUAAUGGAAGAUUUGAGCUGAACCCUGUUCAAUCUCUCAUUUUCUUCUUUCAGUUGCUCCCCCAGCUGACAUUUACCACUGGUGAAGUUGACAUUGUUCGGAGAAAACUUGAUUUCAAAACGGAUUCCCAAACUAUGAAGCCUGGGAUCCACUGAGCAAUAACAUAUUUUUCGUUCAUUUGGGAAGAAGAAGGAAUCCCUGAAAUUAGUGGAGGGAUCUGCAGACUGGAGUUUUCAAAGGCACACAGUAAAUAUUGCAUGCAUGAACUGGAAUCCAAUCAUAUCUCACCCACCAACUCAUCUGUGGUUGUGGGGAUUUCAACAAUACAGCCCGUGAGCAGGUUUCACUAUGAUCGGACGCUGACAACCCUUGUAGCCAUGGCUCAUAUCUGCCCCUGUCUACAGGAAAGUGGCCGUUUUCCUGUAAGCUACGCUUAUGAAAUCCAAAGUUGAUGCCAAGCAGGACACCAGGCAUUGCCCUCCACCCCGGCUCCUUGGAUGGCCCUCCACCAAGCCCACUGUGAUGAGACCGUCUUCCCGAGAACCACAGGAAAUUCAAGAGAGGCAGCUGCCCAUGUCUUUGCAUCCCAGGAAAUUCUGCAGUAGGGCUACUGAGGCCUUAUUGUCAUUUCUAUGCUGAUGAUAAACAGUUCACAGACCAAUAUGAGCAUCUGGACCAACCUUUGAGAAACACAGAAUUGGAAAACCUUUUCAUUCCAUGACGACUUAUAAUUUUCUUACACAAGUCCUAUGGUCUCUUGAAGUUUAAAUUACUGUAUUUCAGGCACCCAGUUCUACUGUUUCAAAAUGUUAAAGAGCCAGUGGAAUUUGGUGAAAAUUUUACCUCAAUCCAGCCAAGUUGAUGAAGAUGUACCUCUGGGAGACUGGGACAAUCAUUUCCAAAGUGGGCACAUCACCAGGGUAGUAGAGAUGAUAAAAAAAAAAAAUCCCACACAAUUGUUUGAGUGCUACUUGUCUAGCUGAUGCUCAGACAUCCUUUAUUUGAAAUUUAUGAUGAGAAAAGAAUAGGAGAAAAGAAGAAGCACCUGAAGUCACAAUGCAUAGCAUACUCAUGCUAGGUAAGUACUAGAUGCCACUCUGCCAAUUUGUUGCUUGGAUAUGACAGCAGAAAUCAUGCUGCCUAGACUUUCUUGGAAACUAUUUUGUAAUCUUGCACUGUAGAUAGUGAAUACUGUCAAGGGUAAUGCAAUCACCUUGUCUGUUGACAAACAUUGAGUUCCAGCAAAAUUUUCUUUCU
rnacentral:lncRNA from 1 species